rnacentral:rRNA from 1 species
AUUGAACGCUGGCGGCAGGCCUAACACAUGCAAGUCGAGCGAGCGGCGGACGUGUGAGUAAUGCCUGGGAAUUGCCCAGUCGAGGGGUAUCACAGUUGGAAACGACUGCUAAUACCGCAUACGAUGGGAUUGCACAGGGGGGUUUCGUUAGUUGGUGAGGUAAUGGCUCACCAAGGCGACGAUCCCUCGAGGGUCUGAGAGGAGGACCAGCCACACUGGAACUGAGACACGGUCCAGACUCCUACGGGAGGCAGCAGUGGGGAAUAUUGCACAAUGGGGGAAACCCGGAUGCAGCCAUGCCGCGUGUGUGAAGAAGGCCUUCGGGUUGUAAAGCACUUUCAGCGGGGAGGCGUUACUCGCAGAAGAAGCACCGGCUAACUCCGUGCCAGCAGCCGCGGUAAUAC